UCCAAGUAAAAAGCGUAAGUGUAAAUAUCAUUUGCGUCGAUGUCUGUUUGAGUAUGUACAAGUGAGUACUAUUCUAAUAAUUGAUUUUAAAUUUAGAUUGGUGAGACGGGAGUGGUGUCCACCGGUUCGCAAAGAAGGGAGGUGCAGCUGUCCAUGGACGGUCGGUCUGCUCUCCUUACCCUCUGGGGUAAGGAGACAGACCUGGAAGUCGUUGCUGGGGACAUGUAUAUUGUCCGAAAUAUAGUCCCCAGUAACGACUUCAAUAAGCAGAGGUGCUACUCGUCCACCCCUCUGACAAAGUUCGAGAUAAAAUGCAUACACUGUCUCGUCACAAUAGUUUUUGCUAUCAAAAAAGUCAUUGUAAUAUCUAUACAUAGAGACAAAAGUAUUGCUUCAAAAUUAAAUGAAUUCUAUUUAGUUUAAGUAAAAUAUUGAAAUAUUGUCAACGAAUUUCUUCAUAUGAAGAUGCUAUUUUGAUGCCUCAUCAGACUCUAAUAUUGAUUGAUAUUGAUUAACAAUUGCAGCCAUAUGAAUGCACAGAACUCCAGGAAACAUUUGAGGGGGUGGUCGAGUGUGUGUCCUUUGCCAGCAAUCUCAUUGAGAUUAACGAUAUGAUGCUGACAAUAUCGAAGGACAACCUUGCUAAGAUUUUUCCAGGCAGACAAUUCAGUCCGGUAAAGGUUACCGGACUGAAAAGAAAUGGAGAAAUUUGUGAAAUAGAUGUGAAGAAGGCCAAGAUGUGAGAAACUGUGAGAGUCAUUAAAGUACCUUGAUCCAAAG